GAGGAUAUAGCUCAGUGGUAGAGUGAGUGCUUAGCACACAUGAGGUCCUGGGCUCAAUCCCCGGUACCUCU
rnacentral:tRNA from 1 species